UACGGAGGGGACUAGCGUUGUUCGGAAUUACUGGGCGUAAAGCGCACGUAGGCGGAUUUGUAAGUUAGAGGUGAAAGCCCGGGGCUCAACCCCGGAACAGCCUUUAAGACUGCAUCGCUAGAAUCCGGGAGAGGUGAGUGGAAUUCCGAGUGUAGAGGUGAAAUUCGUAGAUAUUCGGAAGAACACCAGUGGCGAAGGCGGCUCACUGGACCGGCAUUGACGCUGAGGUGCGAAAGCGUGGGGAGCAAACAGG
rnacentral:rRNA from 1 species